AUACGGAGGGAGCGAGCGUUAAUCGGAAUUACUGGGCGUAAAGCGCACGUAGGUGGUUAGAUAAGUCGGAUGUGAAAGCCCCGAGCUCAACUUGGGAAUUGCAUUCGAUACUGUCUGACUAGAGUAUGGUAGAGGGAAGCGGAAUUCCACAUGUAGCGGUGAAAUGCGUAGAUAUGUGGAGGAACAUCAGUGGCGAAGGCGGCUUCCUGGAUCAAUACUGACACUGAGGUGCGAAAGCGUGGGGAGCAAACAGGAUUAGAAACCCGAGUAGUCC
rnacentral:rRNA from 1 species